GACGAACGCUGGCGGCGUGCUUAACACAUGCAAGUCGAACGGAAAGGCCCUGCUUUUGUGGGGUGCUCGAGUGGCGAACGGGUGAGUAACACGUGAGUAGCCUGCCCUUGACUUUGGGAUAACUUCAGGAAACUGGGGCUAAUACCGGAUAGGAGCUCCUGCUGCAUGGUGGGGGUUGGAAAGUUUCGGCGGUUGGGGAUGGACUCGCGGCUUAUCAGCUUGUUGGUGGGGUAGUGGCUUACCAAGGCUUUGACGGGUAGCCGGCCUGAGAGGGUGACCGGCCACAUUGGGACUGAGAUACGGCCCAGACUCCUACGGGAGGCAGCAGUGGGGAAUAUUGCACAAUGGGCGGAAGCCUGAGGCAGCAACGCCGCGUGCGGGAGGACGGCCUUCGGGUGGUAAACCGCUUUCGCCUGUGACGAAGCGUGAGUGACGGUAAUGGGUAAAGAAGCACCGGCGAACUACGU
rnacentral:rRNA from 1 species